rnacentral:lncRNA from 1 species
GGAAGGGGAGGAGGUAUGGGCAUAGGAAGGAUAGUAGAAUGAAUGGGACAUUAUUACCCUAUUUGCGUAUAUGAUUACAUGACUGUUCUAAUUCUACACCAUGUACAACAGAAUAAGUUAUACUCCAUUUAUGCAUGAUGUGUCAAAAUGCAUUCUCUUGUCAUGUAUAACUAAUUAAACAAAUUUUAAAAAUUAAGGAAAGAAUUAAAAGUGUAUUUAAGGAUUAAGAAUUUUUUUAUUUUGGGGGGUGUACCAGGGAUUGAGCUCAGGAGCGCUCAACCACUGAGCCACAUCCUCAGCCCUAUUUUGUAUUUUAUUUAAAGACAGGGACUCACAGAGUUGUCUAGCACCUUGCUUUUGCUGAGGUUGGCUUUGAACUCACUAUUCUCCUAUCUCAGCCUCCUGAGUUUCUGGGAUUACAGGUGUGCACCACCAAGCCCAGCUAGGGAUUAAGGAUUUUUAAAGAUAAAAUAUGUGUAAUUUGAAGAUGAAAAUAAAAAGACCAAAUCAAAUGAAAUAUCCAUACUGUGAAUAUGAGGGCGAAAAAUAAAAGUAAAAGCUUACAAGAGCAAUCAGAUCUCUGUGUUCUUGGGUAAAUUCAAUCAACCAUGGUUUAAAAAUACACCUAUACUGAAAAUGUACACACUUUUUUCUUG